rnacentral:lncRNA from 1 species
AUAGAUUAAAAUAUACUUUUAUAAAUAAAUUACAAAUAUUACCAUUAUUUGAUAUACUAUGAAGUUUUAUUUUUCAAUUUUUAAAUGCAUUCUGGAACAAGAUCCUAGUAAAUGUAGCUUAUUUCAUUGACUGCACAUAAGCAGCUGCUUUUUGCAAACCACUGACUCUGACAGGAACUAUCAAGCAGUUCUAAUUCAGAGGUCAGCUACUGCAAGGUGAUUCAUUAGCUCCUUAAUCAUACAAAUAUGGCCACAGCCACACUCCCUCAGUACAGAUAAUGGACAUGGCAAACAGGUUCUGCAUGCACCACUGUAGCUGACCUUCGAAAGAAAACUAUCCUUGUGGGGGUAACCUGCAGUAUCUAGGCAAGCAGAUUAUGUCCAAGAAACAAAGAGAAAAUUAUGAAGGAGAGACAAAGGAGUGCAUCAUACUCCCUGAAGAAGGGAAAGUCUAUGUUCGUCUUUGUGACUGAUGACAUACUAUCAGAUGAAAUCAACGCUCUAAAGAUGACAAACUGAGAAGAAAGAGCCCUGAGAUCCUUGAUUAUGUUAUUGUGCUACAAAAUUAACUAAUUCUGGACCAUCCUCAUUCAGAUUUUGUUAUUUGACAUAAUAAACACUCUAUCCUUUAAGAGCCA